UCCCUGGCAGUCCAGUGGUUAGGAUUCUGUGUUUUUACUCCUGAGGGUCUGGGUUCAAUUCCUAGCCGGGGAC
rnacentral:tRNA from 1 species